CCUACGGGUGGCUGCAGUCGAGAAUUAUUCACAAUGGGGGAAACCCUGCUGGUGCGACGCCGCGUGGGGGAAUGAAGGUCUUCGGAUUGUAAACACCUGUAAUGUGGGAGCAAAUUAAAAAGAUAGUGACACAAGAGGAAGAGAAGCCUAACUCUGUGCCAGCAGCCGAGGUAAUACAGAGGUCUCAAGCGUUGUUCGGAAUCACUGGUCGUAAGGCUUGCGUAGGCUGUUUCGUAAGUCGUGUGUGAAAGGCGCGGGCUCAACCCGCGGACGGCACACGAUACUGCGAGACUAGAGUAAUGGAGGGGGAACCGGAAUUCUCGGGGUAGCAGUGAAAUGCGUAGAUAUCGGGAGGAACACGCGUGGCGAAGGCGGGUUCCUGGACAUUAACGGACGCUGAGGCACGAAGGCCAGGGGAGCGAAAGGGAUUAGAUACCCGAGUAGUC
rnacentral:rRNA from 1 species